AUCAUACGAAAGGCAACUCGGUGAUAAAGAAGUCUCUCAAACUCACCAUUUCAUCUCCGGAAAACACUUCCAGUUAGUUAACAACGGUUGAUGGUAUUUCACGUUUGAUAACACUUCGACUGCUAAAAACGAUUUUCAGCGAACUGUUGAAGAAGAUGAUGUACCAGCAAGAUUAUUAUGGAUGUUCAUGAACUUGGUCGGCAUUGCUACAAUCGAUUAGGGUAUUGCUUUUGGAACAUUGCAAUCGUCUAAGACCAUUGGGUACGGGGCUCGUCCCCCCGCCCCACCCCUGCUCCGUCUCACCCCCCUGCUCCGUCUCCUCCGUCCAGAUUCCGACGCUGGCGACGACCCACUCUCCCACACACACACCUCUACAUACCGGAUAACGUGGCCUAUCCCACUUGGCGGUGACGUGGCGGAUGGUCCCUUUGGAACCAUACCGGAUGGUCUAAGGAAAACAGUUUGAAAACGGGGAAGUAAAACUCACAGUGUAUGUCGUAGUUUCACACAGGAUGUAAACAAGCAACUGAGUCAACUUCCAGAAUCACCUAUGCAAAUAUGGGCUUACGUCAGUAUCUAAGUCGGUAACAAGUAUAACUUGGAUUCUGUCAGGAGUUUUCACUGCAGAUUGAGCCUAUACAAUACUGGUAUGGUGAUGGAUGUCAGGGUAGUAUUAGUUUCAGUUUGGCUUCCGGGCACCGGCUCGCGUGUCAGCCAAUGUCAGUAGUUUAACAUGUUCGGACAAUGGUACGGGAAUACCAUUUUAAAAAAGAGCAACCGGCUCUGAUACCACUUGCGAAAUGGUACUGCGGUAAAUUACUACGGUAAAUUGGAUGACAAAUAAAUUACUAUCUGAAACCAUUAAAUCUUGUGCCCAAAAUUUGUCGUACACAAAUUUGUAGUAGACAAAAGUUAAGUACACCAUGUGCUAGUAAAUUGAAUUUAACAAUUUCAUUGCAAAGUUUGUCUACGGCAAAAGAUGCCUUCCAAAGUUUGUAGACAAAAGAUGCCUUACAUAG